rnacentral:lncRNA from 1 species
GGUAUAUGUAGAUAUAUUAAUAAUGGUGUAAUAUAGGCAUAUGACAUAUGUUUAACAGCGCUUGCUAGCACACUUAUUAUUAUAUAUAUUUGUUAUUUUUUUUUUUGUUUUGUGCUACAUUAUUAACAGAAAGUUUUGAUAAAGCUACUAACGCAAUUAAAAAAAAAUAUAACAUAAAUGAGAUACCACCAUCUGGUCUUGAUGAGGAUGAAGAAAAUGAUGCAAAAGAAGAAAGCACAUUUUUGUCAGACACGUUAGAAGAAGCUGCUCGGAAUUUCGCAUCUUCUGACCAGGUAGUACACGAAUAAACGAAUACAUACAUGAAUAAACUGAUGACCAGACAAAUAGAUACA